rnacentral:rRNA from 1 species
AUUGAACGCUGGCGGCAGGCCUAACACAUGCAAGUCGAGCGAGCGGCGGACGGGUGAGUACUGUAUGGGGACUGCCCGAUAGAGGGGGAUAACUACUGGAAACGGUAGCUAAUACCGCAUACUAUCGGAUAACCCAUAUGGGAUUAGCUAGUAGGUGAGGUAAUGGCUCACCUAGGCGACGAUCCCUAGCUGGUCUGAGAGGAUGAUCAGCCACACGGGGACUGAGACACGGCCCAGACUCCUACGGAGGCAGCAGUGGGGAAUAUUGCACAAUGGGCUCAAGCCUGAUGCAGCCAUGCCGCGUGUAUGAAGAAGGCCUUGGGGUUGUAAAGUAAUGUCAGUAGGGAGGCGGGACCGACAGAAGAAGGACCGGCAAACUCCGUGCCAGCAGCCGCGGUAAUUC